GCCGCAUUGUCAGGAGAGCGUUCCUUCGAGGAACCGCCGAAGGCGCAGGAGGCUGGAACGGCCCCGAACGCUCAGGCAAAAGGACUGGCAAACGCCC
rnacentral:ncRNA from 2 species